rnacentral:rRNA from 1 species
UUAAAAAGCUCGUAGUUGAAUUUCGGGAUUAGUACGUUGGUCGUGCCUUCGGUACGUACUGGUGUUACUGAUUCCUACCUUCUGACGAACCAUCAUGUCAUUAAUUUGGUGUGGUGGGGAAUCAGGACUGUUACUUUGAAAAAAUUAGAGUGUUUAAAGCAGGCUCGCGCUUGAAUACAUUAGCAUGGAAUAAUGAAAUAGGACGUUGAUCCUAUUUUGUUGGUUUCUAGGAUUGACGUAAUGAUUAAUAGGGAUAGUUGGGGG